UGAUGAUUAUUUUCUUAUAUGCUAUGAAAUGUUGUGUGAAAUUUUCACUGUAUCACUGGAAAGGAUUAAACUUUACACAUGCAAAGUAUUUCUUUGGUUGAAAUAAAGUGUUCACAUGUUCUGAAGAGUAUUCUGUUGAAAAAUCUUAUAUGUGAAUUGGUCUGCAGAUGACACUUCAGCAUUAAAACAAAAGAUAUCAAGUUUUGAUGAAAAGGGAAGGACGGAGGAAAAAUGGACCAAAACAGACCUUCAAAUGAACUCUCAAAGGUGC